rnacentral:miRNA from 1 species
GUGUGUGUGUGUGUGUGUGUUUAUUUAUCCAAGGAAGAUAUAUGUAUCUUCUUUGGAUAAAUAAACAAAUAUAUAU